AGGAUGAACGCUAGCGGCAGGCUUAAUACAUGCAAGUCGAGGGGCAGCGGGGUGUAGCAAUACACUGCCGGCGACCGGCAAACGGGUGCGGAACACGUACACAACUUUCCUUUAAGUGGGGGAUAGCCCAGAGAAAUUUGGAUUAAUACCCCGUAACAUUAUGUAGUGGCAUCACUAUAUAAUUAAAGCUCCGGCGCUUAAAGAUGGGUGUGCGGCUGAUUAGGUAGUUGGCGGGGUAACGGCCCACCAAGCCUGCGAUCAGUAACUGGUGUGAGAGCACGACCAGUCACACGGGCACUGAGACACGGGCCCGGCUCCUACGGGAGGCAGCAGUAAGGAAUAUUGGUCAAUGGACGCAAAGUCUGAACCAGCCAUGCCGCGUGAAGGAUGAAGGUCCUCUGGAUUUGUAAACUUUCUUUUAAUAGGGAAAGAAACCCUAUUUUUUACUAAAAGUUGGUUAGACGGUACCCGUGGAAUAAGCAACCGGCUAACUCCGUGCCAGCAGCCGC
rnacentral:rRNA from 1 species